CGCAGGCGUAGGAAAUUUGAGAGGAUCUGACCCUAGUACGAGAGGACCGGGUUGGACAAACCGCUGGUGUACCAGUUGUCUCGCCAGAGGCAUAGCUGGGUAGCUACGUUUGGAAGUGAUAAGCGCUGAAAGCAUCUAAGCGCGAAGCCUACCUCAAGAUGAGAUUUCCCACAGCGUAAGCUGGUAAGACUCCAGAGAGAAUAUCUGGUAGAUAGGCUAGAAGUGUAAGUGCCGUGAGGUAUUUAGCGGACUAGUACUAAUAGGUCGAGGGCUUGACCUA
rfam:Desulfonispora thiosulfatigenes DSM 11270 genome assembly, contig: Dest_Contig00030